UUUUAACUAAUAAUAAUUAAUUAAUGGUUUAAGUAUAUCAUAGAAGGAUCUGUCAUUUAUUAUAAGCUAUUUACUUUCACAUGUCAUUUGUCCCACUCAUAUUGGCAAUGUGAAUAUGCACAUCUUUUCUUUUCUUUGAAAGGCUGCAUUUCUCCUUGGGUACUGAUGUGUUGGUCAGAGCUAAUGUUGAAUUUUGGUGGCAGUAACAAAUACAAAUGCUUUUGCUGAGUGUACCCCAAGCAUAGCAAGAGCUCACUGCAACUACCAUACCUGAAGUCUGCAGGAGCAGAGCAAUUUACUUUGGUUUAUUAUAAUCAGUAAACUUGAAUUUACCCUGAGCCCCCAAGAAACCAUGGUCUCAUUUUUUGUCUUUUCCUGCAAGUGCUUCUCUUCUGGGGUUUUCCUGAUCCCCAGCAUAGCACCCAAGUCUACUUGGGACAGAUGGUGUCUGAGGUAGGUUGGUUGGGUUUUGGUUCAUGUUUUUUUCAAGGACAGCUGUGGGUUUGUUUUUUUGGUUUUUUUUUUUUGAUGGAGAAUACUAGUCAGCACCCCUACCAUGCCAGUUCACGUUGCAAGCUUGCAGUCCAACCAGCAUUCAGCUAUCCCGGAUCUCACAAGCACAGGUCUCUUAUUGACAUCUGAACUGCAGCCGUAGCUCUCCAGGACCUGGGAGGAGAACCUGCAGCUGGGAUAUCUACCACUUCUCUACCCCACCAUCAGCCAAGGUAAGAAACCUUGCCCCUGCACCAGGUACACACACAAGCAGAUGAAAAAUGUAAAGCUUUAUUUUAUUUUCCUUGGUCAAAAAACCCCAACAGACCAUCAGUCUUUUUUAAGACCAGCCCCCACCCCCAGAACACAGUGGAUAUGGGUUAGCUUUUUGGCUAAAGAAGGUUAAAUAGAUAUACUAAACAUGGUACAAGGAAACCUUAAAUACAGUGUAAAAAGAUGCCCUCAGCUGAUGGAGCCAACCCGUAUCUUUCUUAAAUAAAUAGGUAGAAUCAGUUACUACCGGAUAAAGU
rnacentral:lncRNA from 1 species